rnacentral:sRNA from 2 species
UUUAAUAAUGCGCCGAAUAUUCAUUUGAAUUACGGAGGAACCAAAGAAUUAAUGGGGUGAAUUUUGAUAUUCAUUAUCGAAAAGGGCGACCUGUGCAUGCCCGAAUCCGUCAGCUAACUUCGUAGGCGAUAUGCAACCAGGAA